UAUUACAUUUGUUUCACACAG
ensembl:piRNA 21ur-2578 ncRNA